rnacentral:ncRNA from 1 species
GGUCAUGAGCGUCAGCAACCAAGGCCCUGGCCUGCUGACCGGCAACCCUCCGUCGCGGCGGGGUGCUCCAGGUGACGACCCGGCGGGGCCGACGACGGCUCGGCAAGUGCGAACC